UAAUUUUUCCUAUGUUCCUUUGGUAUUUUAACCAAAGAUGAAGAACUGGAUAUUCCAUCGCUGUUUUGGAAGCCUUAACUAAAUAAGUGUGUACUAUAGUUUGUUCUUCGUCCGUCCGUUCGUUCGUCCGUUCACCCGUUCGUUCGUCCAUCUGUCCCGCUUCAGGUAAAAGUUUUGGUCGAUGUAAUUUUUGAUAAAGUUGAAGUCCAAUCAACUUGAAACUUAUCAAACAUGUUUCCUAUGAUAUAAUCAUUCUAAUUUUUUUGCCUAAUUAGACAUGUCUCCCCAUUUUCACGGUCCACUGAACAUAGAAAAUGAUAGUGUGCAUGGGACAUCUGCGUACUAGGGACAUAUUCUUGUUUAUCUAUAAGUUUGAAUGUCCCUCCAGUAACUUUUUCACCUCUUUUACAAAAAACUACUGAAACCGGAUUAACAACACUUUUUACAACAACAAAAAAUAGCAAGAAGACCAAAUUUGUACACCUGGAUGUAAUUCAGAAUCACAGACGAUGAUUAGAAUGAACAAAUCAAAUAUUCUGAAUCCAAAGUUUCCCCAUACAUUAUAGUGUUAAAUAU
rnacentral:lncRNA from 1 species